rnacentral:lncRNA from 1 species
GUAAGACAUGGCUUGAACAUCCAAAGUCAUUGCACAAAGAUGUCUAUUUAUAACCUGCCGAGUGACAAAACUACUAGUCAAGAGAAUUUGCAGCCAGAAGACUUUUCUUCCUCAAGAGCCUUCUAAGAAAUUACAGUGUUCUUGAAGCCAGCUUCCUCUUCAGCCACUGGGCAUUCCCUUGAUUCACCUGAGGCCUCUUCCAGCCUCCUGAAGCUCCCAUAAAUUAUUACACUCUCAUGCUGAUCAUAAUAUAGAAGCCUGCAUCUCUAGUUGUUAACCA